rnacentral:sRNA from 1 species
GCUGCCGUAGACAGUAGGUGCCGUAAGGCAUAAGGAGUAAACGCCUACCGAGGAAGAAUCGUAAAGUCAAAUGAUUUAACGCAUUUUAACUCUCGUGCUACGUAGCAUGAGAGUUUUUCUUUC